GAAGAAGAAAAAGAAAAAGAAGAAAGAUAAAGAAUCAGAGAAUGGUGAUGUUGGAAGUGACGAUGAAGGAAGUAAAAGCAAGAAGAAGGAUAAGAAGAAAAAGAAGAAUAAGGAUGAUGCUCAAGAGGAGUAGAGGUGAAGGUUUUUACCCCAAUUGAGUGUGCUCCUAUGUAUGUUAAAAUGCACGUCAUGUAGUUCAAAAUUUUGCCGUUUAUUCACUUGUUUUUGGGCAGGAGUUUGUUGCAGCUGAAGUUCCUGGUCAUAGACGUGCUUAUUAGUUAAUUAGUUUUACCUUUUUUAUUUGUCAAGACUUGAGUAUUUCAAUCCAUAAGGCUGUUUUCUAUCUAAAUUUUGAGAUGUUUUCUGUUUUUGUACUUCAUUGCCUGUAGAUGUCUGUAGCUGAAAUACAACUAAUCAGCUGCAUAACAACUGCCUUUGUUUGAAGCUGUAUGGUGUGUAUAGUUAGUUCUAGGGCAGGAAGUUUGCAAGGCAGUAGAAAGAUUUUGGCCACUGUUUAGCACCUUCUAUCUUAGAAGGGCUGCUCAAGUGUUGAACUAUUU
rnacentral:misc_RNA from 1 species